rnacentral:lncRNA from 1 species
AUUUAAGAAGAGACAAGACGCAUUUUAAAUGGCUUUUCCCCAUUUCUAUGCUCCUUAUCUGAAGCCAUAGCAUCAGUUCUGAGCCAGCACCAGAAGAGGAAGGACUAAUAUAGAAAUGAUUGAAUAAUGAAUGGAUAAUGGCCUAAGGAGCAAUAAGCAAAGUCAAUCAGAGUUGAAUACUCUAUGACUCUAUGCAAGUAUUUCCCUACACCUAAAAAUAAUGUGAAUAAUAAAUAGGAGCUCAUUUGUAUUGUUUCUUACAUGGGCAAUUAAAAAACAGCAUCUGUUUCUAUACUUGCCAAACCAUAUAAAGACAUGGCAAAUCAUAAUGCCAUAUACUGAAAACAAUUAAAAGUAAAAAAGUAAAAUUUAAAUAUUACACAAUAACAUACUGGUAUGUUACACAUAAACAUACAAAUCGCCUGGUUGUGUAACAGGAUCAUUGAAAAAUGAAAGGAA